rnacentral:rRNA from 1 species
UGGGGAAUUUUGGACAAUGGGCGAAAGCCUGAUCCAGCCAUGCCGCGUGAGUGAAGAAGGCCUUCGGGUUGUAAAGCUCUUUUAGUCGGAAAGAAAGAGUUGCAAUGAAUAAUUGUGAUUUAUGACGGUACCGACAGAAAAAGCACCGGCUAACUACGUGCCAGCAGCCGCGGUAAUACGUAGGGUGCGAGCGUUAAUCGGAAUUACUGGGCGUAAAGGGUGCGCAGGCGGUCUUGCAAGUCAGAUGUGAAAGCCCCGGGCUUAACCUGGGGAUUGCGUUUGAAACUACAAGGCUAGAGUGCAGCAGAGGGGAGUGGAAUUCCAUGUGUAGUAGUGAAAUGCGUAGAGAUGUGGAAGAACACCGAUGGCGAAGGCAGCUCCCUGGGUUGACACUGACGCUCAUGCACGAAAGCGUGGGGAGCAAACA